rnacentral:pre_miRNA from 19 species
UUAGCAUUUGAGGUGAAGUUCUGUUAUACACUCAGGCUGUGGCUCUGUGAAAGUCAGUGCAUUACAGAACUUUGUCUCAAAAGCUUU